rnacentral:rRNA from 1 species
UACGUAGGGUGCAAGCGUUGUCCGGAAUUAUUGGGCGUAAAGAGCUCGUAGGCGGUCUGUUGCGUCGGCUGUGAAAACCCGGAGCUCAACUCCGGGACUGCGGUGGAUACGGGCAGACUGGAGUUCGGCAGGGGAGACUGGAAUUCCUGGUGUAGCGGUGAAAUGCGCAGAUAUCAGGAGGAACACCGGUGGCGAAGGCGGGUCUCUGGGCCGAUACUGACGCUGAGGAGCGAAAGCGUGGGGAGCGAACAGG